rnacentral:rRNA from 1 species
UGUCCUACGGGGCGCAGCAGUGAGGAAUAUUGGUCAAUGGCCGGAAGGCUGAACCAGCCAAGUCGCGUGAGGGACGACUGCCCUAUGGGUUGUAAACCUCUUUUAUAAGGGAAGAAUAAAUGCUACGUGUAGCAUGAUGCCUGUACCUUAUGAAUAAGCAUCGGCUAACUCCGUGCCAGCAGCCGCGGUAAUACGGAGGAUGCGAGCGUUAUCCGGAUUUAUUGGGUUUAAAGGGUGCGUAGGCGGACUGUUAAGUCAGCGGUAAAAGCCCGGGGCUCAACCCCGGCGAGCCGUUGAAACUGGCU